rnacentral:rRNA from 1 species
AUGUCUACCUCAGAGGUUUCCGAGAGUGCCGAUUCCAUGGAUGAGGAUAUGAGUCAAGUACCACGUGUUAGAAGGUCCAAGGUGUGGGAGCAUUAUGAACAAGAUCUGGUUCGCAUACAUGGUGAUCUCAAGGCUGUGUGCAAAUAUUGUGGGACACAACUUCACACCAAGUUUGGGACUACGAGUUUGAGAACCCAUAUUGCAGAGUCUUGCAAAUCAAUUGAGGAUGGUUGCAGGAAGAAUUUUCUGUUGACUAUGAAAAAAACAAAUUCCGAAGGCCCAUUUGUGUUUGAUCAAAAAGUUUGCCGUGAUCUCAUGGUCAAGUUUUGCAUCCAUGCUGAGAUCCCCUUUCUUAAGUUUGAAGAUCCAUACCUUCAGCCAUGGAUUGACUCAAUGCAGCCAACAUUUCAAUUCGUGAUGAUGCAAUGA